rnacentral:lncRNA from 1 species
CUUCUUUCUGUAUUACAGCACAUCAAACACCACUGUCUGCACAGAAUGCACAAACACAGUAGAUUGGCAUUUAUUUCAGCGUGGAUUUGUGGAACUUGGGGAUACGUUCUUUGGAACAGUGUUGCUGAGAUGCUGUGAUCUGGUAUGGGCUAGGAUGUCAUAAAGCUUUAUCACAGAAGGGGUAUUGAUUUAUCCUUUAGAUUUGUGCUUAAUAUACACAUGCAGAUCCAUUUUGGAGGCUGUAAGGUAGUUUGAGCAGAGAAGGCAAAAGGCCACAGUCAGGUCAAGGCAGCGCUUCAAAUCAAACCAGACUGGAUAUUCUUCAUCAAAUAUGGAAGAAGCUUGGACAAGGUGAGAAAACAGCUAGCUGGAAGGAGAACCAUUAUGGAAUAGGACGUUUACAGUUAUUAAGUUGGAGAAUAAAUCCUUCAGUAAGAGAAGGAUACAAAGUGCUGCUGCUGCUCUGGCCUGGUUCUAAUGACCCUUUCUGCAGUUGCUGGUAAAAUUCAUGGAUCAAGACCUUUUGGAAAAUCACAGUUUUUUUCAUGCAGGUAACUAAUGUAAGGAAAUUAUAUUAAUGUAACAAAUUGAUAAAUACUGCACCUCUGUUCUUCCUUUAAAUCCUGCAGUACUGACUGAGACAGC